GACGAACGCUGGCGGCGUGCUUAACACAUGCAAGUCGAACGGAAAGGCUCCAGCUUGCUGGAGUACUCGAGUGGCGAACGGGUGAGUAACACGUGGGUAAUCUGCCCUGCACUCUGGGAUAAGCCUGGGAAACUGGGUCUAAUACUGGAUAUGACCUUUCUCCUUAUGGGGUUUGGUGGAAAGUUUUUCGGUGUAGGAUGAGCCCGCGGCCUAUCAGCUUGUUGGUGGUGAUGGCCUACCAAGGCGACGACGGGUAGCCGGCCUGAGAGGGUGAUCGGCCACAUUGGGACUGAGAUACGGCCCAGACUCCUACGGGAGGCAGCAGUGGGGAAUAUUGCACAAUGGGCGGAAGCCUGAUGCAGCGACGCCGCGUGAGGGAUGACGGCCUUCGGGUUGUAAACCUCUUUCAGCAGGAACGAAGCGUAAGUGACGGUACCUGCAGAAGAAGCACCGGCUAACUAUGUG
rnacentral:rRNA from 1 species